rnacentral:rRNA from 1 species
UGGGCAACCUGCCCCUAGCACUGGGAUAACCCCGGGAAACCGGGGCUAAUACCGGAUAUGACCUCGGUGGGCAUCUCCUGAGGUGGAAAUGUUCCGGCGGCUAGGGAUGGGCCCGCGGCCUAUCAGCUUGUUGGUGGGGUGAUCGCCUACCAAGGCGACGGCGGGUAGCCGGCCUGAGAGGGUGUCCGGCCACACUGGGACUGAGAUACGGCCCAGACUCCUACGGGAGGCA